AACAGGAUUAGAUACCCUGGUAGUCCACGCCCUAAACGAUGUCAACUAGGUGUUGGGGAAGGAGACUUCUUUAGUACCGCAGCUAACGCGAUAAGUUGACCGCCUGGGGAGUACGGUCGCAAGAUUAAAACUCAAAGGAAUUGACGGGGACCCGCACAAGCGGUGGAUUAUGUGGAUUAAUUCGAUGCAACGCGAAAAACCUUACCUACCCUUGACAUGUCAGGAAGAUCGCAGAGAUGUGAUUGUGCCCGAAAGGGAACCUGAACACAGGUGCUGCAUGGCUGUCGUCAGCUCGUGUCGUGAGAUGUUGGGUUAAGUCCCGCAACGAGCGCAACCCUUGUCAUUAAUUGCCAUCAUUCAGUUGGGCACUUUAAUGAGACUGCCGGUGAUAAACCGGAGGAAGGUGGGGAUGACGUCAAGUCCUCAUGGCCCUCAUGGGUAGGGCUUCACACGUAAUACAAUGGUCGGUACAGAGGGUUGCCAACCCGCGAGGGGGAGCUAAUCUCAGAAAGCCGAUCGUAGUCCGGAUUGUUCUCUGCAACUCGAGAGCAUGAAGUCGGAAUCGCUAGUAAUCGCGGAUCAGCAUGUCGCGGUGAAUACGUUCCCGGGUCUUGUACACACCGCCCGUCACACCAUGGGAGUGGAAUCUGGCAGAAGUAGGUAGCUUAACCGCAAGGAGGGCGCUUACCACGCUGGGUUUCAUGACUGGGGUGAAGUCGUAACAAGGUAACC
rnacentral:rRNA from 1 species